rnacentral:lncRNA from 1 species
UGAUUCUCUCUCCAAGUUUGAAGCUGAGAAUAAGCUCUUAAGACAAGCAAAUGAGCUCAGUGCAUAAAGAGAGUCUAGUCUAACCUCCAAGAUUAAGAAUCUAGAAAAGACAAUCUCUACAUGGAAUAAUUCCUCUUCAUCCAUGGACUCCUUAAUCUCUAACCAAAGAAGUGUCUCUGAUAGAAUAGGGUUAGGCUUUGGGGAAUCUACCUCAGAGUCAUGUGUGGAAAAAAGCAAAGGAAAUUAGCACUGGUAAUGCUUCAGGUUCCAGUAGAGGCAUUAUAUUUGUGAAAUCUUCACAGAAGAAUGAGCCUGUCAAACCCUGCCCAACUGAUUCAAU